rnacentral:rRNA from 1 species
UACAGAGACCUCAAGCGUUAUCCGGAAUCAUUGGGCGUAAAGCGUACCGAUAGGUGGUCAAGAAAGUCAGAGGUGAAAUCUCAAGGCUCAACUUUGAGACUGUCCUUUGAAACUUCUCGACUAGAGGGGCAAAGAGGAAGCUAGAACGAACGGUGUAGUAGUGAAAUGCGUUGAUAUCGUUCGGAAAUACCGAUAGCGAAGGCAGGCUUCUGGGUGCCACCUGACACUGCUAGGACGAAAGCGUGGGGAGCGAAUGGG